CCUUUCAUGCAUCCAGCACUCCCAAAAAACAGAUCUCCUCUCCCACAGAGCCCUCUGCUCCCGCUGCUCCCUCAGCCUGGGGUGCCGUGAGGCUGUGCCCCUGGCUGAACACUUACAGUCCCUCUCUGCCCAUCACAGGGGGCUGCCCCAAGCUAGUCAUCAAAGUAAUCUUCAAUGUGAAACAGUGUUGCUACUUUUUCACUACGUAUUUAGAGAAGUGAGGACUUCGUCCUUUCACCUGUCCU